GGACUACCGGGGUAUCUAAUCCUUAUCGUUACCUAAGGCUUCGUCCCUCAACGUCAGUUUUUAUAUAAAAGGUUGCCUUCGCUGUUACCUGUCUUUCUAGUAUAAAUAAAUUUCAACUUUCCUCUAGAAAUACAUACCUUACACUAUAAAACUCUAGAAUACUAGUCCCUUAAUUAUAUGGCUUGAUAUUCCGUCUAGGUACCCUAUAAACCUAAUAAUGAUGAAUAACACUAGUCUUUUACGUAUUACCGCGGCUGCUGGCAC
rnacentral:rRNA from 1 species